GAUGAACGCUAGCUACAGGCUUAACACAUGCAAGUCGAGGGGAAACGACAUCGAAAGCUUGCUUUUGAUGGGCGUCGACCGGCGCACGGGUGAGUAACGCGUAUCCAACCUGCCCAUCACUUGGGAAUAACCUUGCGAAAGUAAGACUAAUACCCAAUGACAUCCCACGAAGACAUCUGAAUGGGAUUAAAGAUUUAUCGGUGAUGGAUGGGGAUGCGUCUGAUUAGCUUGUUGGCGGGGUAACGGCCCACCAAGGCAACGAUCAGUAGGGGUUCUGAGAGGAAGGUCCCCCACAUUGGAACUGAGACACGGUACAAACUCCUACGGGAGGCAGCAGUGAGGAAUAUUGGUCAAUGGGCGAGAGCCUGAACCAGCCAAGUAGCGUGCAGGAUGACGGCCCUAUGGGUUGUAAACUGCUUUUAUAAGGGAAUAAAGUGGGUCUCGUGAGACUUUUUGCAUGUACCUUAUGAAUAAGGACCGGCUAAUUCCGUG
rnacentral:rRNA from 1 species